UCCGAAGGGGGCUAUCGUUGUUCGGAUUUACUGGGCGUAAAGCGCGUGUAGGCGGGGCGUUAAGUUGGGGGUGAAAUACCGAGGCUCAACCUCGGAACUGCCUUCAAAACUGGCGACCUGGAGCAAGAUAGAGGCGAGUGGAAUUGCGAGUGUAGAGGUGAAAUUCGUAGAUAUUCGCAGGAACACCAGUGGCGAAGGCGACUCGCUGGAUCUUUGCUGACGCUGAGACGCGAAAGCGUGGGGAGAAAACAGG
rnacentral:rRNA from 1 species